GUAUGUUGUGUCAGUUAGUUAGCUACACGUAGCUAGGAUACUGUCAUCAGUGUACUGAGCAUGUGCAGGAAUGCAGGAACUGAAAUUGCACUUAUUUCCUUUGUCUUGGAUGAGCCAUGUGGUUUGACUAGAUGUACAAGUCUAUAUUCUGCUCAUUGAUUGGUCUGAGGAAUAUAGGAAGGGUUAUACUGUAUGGGAGGAUAUAUGCAG